UUUUCUUUAGUAUAAAUAGUAUAUUUAACUUCCAAUUAAAAGGUUUAAAAUUAAAAGAAAAA
rnacentral:tRNA from 1 species